GAUGAAGAACGUAGCGAAAUGCGAUAAGUAAUGUGAAUUGCAGAAUUCAGUGAAUCAUCGAAUCUUUGAACGCACAUUGCGCCCGCCAGUAUUCUGGCGGGCAUGCCUGUUCGAGCGUCAUUUCAACCAUCAAGCCUUAGGCUUGUGUUGGAGCUCUGCGACUGUCCGCAGGCCCCUAAAUGCAGUGGCGGGCUCGCUAUCACACCGAGUGCAGUAGUUUUCUUUCUCGCUCAGGGCGUGUAGUGGGUCUAGCCGUAAAACCCCCUUUUCUCACAAGGUUGACCUCGGAUCAGGUAGGAAUACCCGCUGAACUUAAGCAUAUCAAUAAGCGGAGGA
rnacentral:misc_RNA from 1 species